rnacentral:lncRNA from 1 species
GGUGGGCUGGGCCAGCACGCCGAGAAGGAGGGGAACAGGGUUUCUUUUCCUUUUUUUUUAACCAAUUUUCAAAUGCUUUUAUAAAUUGAAUUUUGAACAAAUUUCUUUUUUUUGCUUAAAUUCACACAUCAUAAAAAAAAUAUUGCAGCAUGUAUGCAUCCACAUAUUUCUAAACUUAUGUUAAAUUUUAAUUUUCUAAAAAUUAUUAUUUUCCUAUAUUUUAAUGCUCACAAAAACUAUUUAACUAAAUCAAAUUCAACUAUUUAGAAGAAGAAAUUUUGGGGUGUUACACUAUUGUAGUCUUGGCGUCUGUAGGUAUACUUUAACUGAAAAAUACUUGCUCCAUUCCAAAUUAUAUAUGAACCAUCCUAUUUUUUUACAAAGUCAAAAUAUUUUAAGUUUAACCAAAUUUAUAUAAUAUAAUAAUAUAAUAAUACUUUCUCCAUUCUAAAUUAUAAGAUUUUUGUAUAUGUAACUUUUUCUUUGCACUUAGAUAUAAAUUAUAUGUCGACACAUCAUAGUAUAAAUACAAUGUAUCUUGAAUAUUAGAACAUCUUAUAAUUUAAAAUAUAGGGAGUUAAAGUUAUGUUAUCAAUUAAAUAUCAUUAGAUUCUCUCAUCACCCACACG